AGCAUUACAAACAACACCCGCCAAGCUUUUUGUCCCUUUCAGAAUCCCGUCCUUCAGUUAGUCACGUAGCGCCGCUCGUGUAAAAUGUAAGGCCUGCUCUGAUUGGAUGCCUUCCCACAAGGCGCUCAGGGAUUGGUCGGAAUCAGCCCCCCUUGUUGCUGAGCUACGCCGAAGGAGCGGGAGAUGGAACGAAGAGGGCUGGGGUUGCCAUAGCGGCGGUCGCGGCUGGGAAACCGGAAGAGCAAAGGAUUCAACGGUUAUAAGAAGCAAAUAUUUGGAACACUACCUCCGAAGGGAUGCAUAAUGGUACUUAACCACUGUACUGUCUGUACACAUUUUCAAAACACACCCAAAACUGGGCCCAGCAUCUUCUUUCACCUCUGUCAAUGAGAGUAUCCCAGAUUUCUCAUUAGUCCUGAAUUCUGCAGUUUAGUUUUUCAAGCUCUUUAUGACAACUGAAGUAAUCCUUAAAAGAAGAAAGACUAUUUCUGAAGUUCAUACAAAUAGGAAAUACGGAAAUUCAAAAGAGGAUGCUACAUUCAUUUACCAGAAA